CUUCUCGCCCAGAAACCCCUACCCAGUCAGUUCUUUGUUCUGCCCUUCCCUUUCCCCUCAGAAAGAAAUAAAUGUUUGUGAUGCUUCACACCAAACCCAGGUAACCUCUAAAAUUCUCUACUCAGCAAGGCUUAUUGGAAACAGACGGCUGUUCAGUGUCCCUGCUUCCUACCAGCGGGGUCUCGGCGCACAGCACUCCACUCUCCGAACCUGAGCACCUGAUGUAGGAAUAUAUGGAUGCCUAUCCCUGGGGAGGUGCAAAUUCUACAAAUUUGCCCCUGGUGGCUCCUGCAAAGAAGCAGAGGAUGGUGGCUAAAGGAAGGCAGAGUUCAGAUGAGCCAAAAUAGCCCAGGGAUUGUUGGGAAUGCCAAAGCUGAAGGUAUAAAAGUGAAAAAUGAAAGGCUUCAAAAGGUUGGCUUGCCCAGAACUCUGAGAACCUCAGUCGCUGACUUCUCCACUUCUGCUGGGUUGACAUUUUUUUGGAUUUGGGGGGCUGCCAGUGGCUGCUAAUGGGAGCACCUGGCCACAUGCAGCCUCUGGCGAUGACAGCUGUGGCAGAAACACAGGCCUCCUUCCUUCCAGCCCACUCUGGAGAAUAAAAUUCUUCUUGGAAGAGCAAACAAGUUAUUGGGAAACUGCAGCCAAAAACACUGCAGGACCUUGAGAGAACAUCUCCAGAUCUCAGGCAAGAUCCAAUCAGAGAGAAUUCGUUUAAUCAUUAUUCACUCAGGGCCCCAUCUCAUGAAGGUUUGACUGUCAGAACUGAAUUCCACUCCAAAGAAAAGCUCUCCUCAGAGAAGAUUUGCAGUUGCUCUUUGUAAAAAUGAGAGAAAAAAGGAGAAUCUAUUUAAAAUAGACACGUGUAAGCUCCCAGGGGACGGGAGGCAUAAACUGUGAGAAUGGCUCUCAUCAAACUUGAAUCCUCCCGGUUUAGGAUUUUACUAAGGAUGGAAAAUGAAAGGGAACUGAGUAUUCCUACUCUCUUCCAAGUCACAUCAAGGCAGUCAGCUUGUGACAGGAAGAUUACCUGCAGGAGGGCUUUAUUUGAUGUGAACAGGGUUAACGUCAUCUUCCUAGAUUAGAAAUUGUCCGGGUCUCUUAGGAAUGGGAAAGCAAAUACAGAGAUUUUACGUGAAGGUGUGUGCACGAACCCUUUUUGACACUGGACAUAAAAGGGGAAAUG